ensembl:lncRNA
UAGAAAUGAAAGAAUGUAGAAGUGUAUAUAUAGGUAACAAAGUAUUUUAUUUUAUUUCAUUUUAUUUUAUUUUAUUUUAUUUAUGUAUUUUAUUUUAUUUUGUGUAUCUUCAAGACGCCUACUCUCAUCAUAUACGUUUUACAUGUAGGUUAGGUCCUUGGCUGGCAUAAAACAAUACAGCUCUGCUGAAGUAAAUGACUCUUUUCCAAUGCAUAUGGAGUGAACUUUUAGCUCUGAAAGCAGAUUCAGGACAGCAGAAAAUACAGCAAUUGAAAUUCCCCUACAAGAAGAGGUAGAUCAAUCACCACAGAAAGAAAGAAAGAGGCCCAAGUCUCAGGAGAGCUGAUUUAAGACUAUAUCAAAAGAGGGCUAUAGUACAUGGAAGGAAAAGAUGGAUAUGUCUGAACAGGGCACCUUCUCAUAAUUAAACAUGAUCCAGAAAUCAGGCAUUUCUCUGUGUAUGUUCUACAAGGAAUUAACUUGGGAAGUCUACUGGGAACCUCUUUACCAUACAAGAGGAUUAGAUGUCUGUGAAAGGUCCACAUGCCUGCCUGUCAUUUUCUGCUCAAGGUACUGCUGGAGGAAUCUCCUUUUAAUGUGGGAGCACUCACCUACAUUUUGCUGAAAAUGCAGGCCUAGUUUAGUAUUCUGCCUCCUGUGAUUCAACUCCACCUCUUUAUUGCCCAAUCAAGAAGCAUAGCUAUCAGGCUUUCUGCUUUUCAGAGGCGUGUCUGUGUAAAAGGGUGUUUUCCGCUCCUUAUGUUGGCUUUAUGCAGAGGAGACUACAGGAUUCAUUUCACCAGAAAAAGAGAGUGAAAACAUUUAUGACCUUCUCUCCUAAUGGCAGUCACCCUGGAUAGUUAAUGCUAAGUGUUGUACAGCAGCUGGGGAACAAACACAGGUUUUCUGGACCCAGAAAGAGGUGUUACACACAGUGUGUACACAGUGUGCAUAAAGCAACAGGAACACCGCCACAGGUCUUCACUGAAGUAUUAGUGUUGUUGUGUGGAGCAAAGAUGGAUCUCAGUAGGGUUCACUACCGAAAUAAGAUGAAAUGUUUUUACAGUUGGAAGGAGCAGUGCAUGCCUGGGAUUUCUGGCAUUGACCUUUCAGCUUGGCAGACCUUUGGUUUGACUCUGAACAUGCAGAAGUGCCAGUCAAAUGUUAACUGCAGACCUGCUAUUCUUACUCAAUAAAUCUGAACUCUUGAGAAUUCCUGUGAAGGUACUGCCCACACACAGAAAAUCAGACAUUUCACACAGGGUUAGAUGGAAGCAUAAAGCACGUGCACAUAUUUCUAGCUAGGAAAUGCUAGGAGAAAAUGUGUGGCUGCUUCACCAUACUCUAGGGCCACCAUCUGUUUGCAGUGUAAAUACAGGAGUUUUGUUAUCUUUGCCAAUGCACAAAAACAACCCAGUCAAACUACUGAAGGUGAGGGGUUUUUAAUUGGUUGUGCCUCUUAUCAGGUAGUAUGAUUAGUAUUAUUUUGGUUUUCAGUUUCCCAAAUGUCCUUUAUUCAUCACUGAAGGUAGUGGGACACCUCCUAUCAAUUAACUACUGCAGGAGUGCAUGGCUCUGUCCUUCACCUCCAGCUCCAGGGUAUUUUAGUUACCAUCCUGAAAACUGCCUAUUACAACUGCAGAAUAGCUCCUUGUCUGAGUCUCCACCUUUUAAACCCGUCAAAUUAUUUCUUUUAGUGAGCACAGCUACCCUCCUGGGUCUUUCAAAGACCUAGUGCUUUUUGAACUCAGGCUUUCCCAAGAUCUGAUUUUUUCCAUAUGUGAAUGUCUCUACUGCCAAAUAAGGCCAAUUCUACAACCAUGACUCUGCAUGAUCUGGCCUUCCCCCAGCAUCCUUGUUCCCAGCGUUUAUUUGCAGAAAUAUCUGUGCAAGAACAUGCUUGCAGAUGUCAGAAACGCUAUGCAGAGUGUACUGUUACUAUCUGUAUAUUUAAAAAGAGCCCUAAAUCCCUUAAACAGACUUAUUCACUUAUUUUGCCUUUAAAGUUUCUAUUUUCUCUAUGUGAAUAGCACUUACUUGAUACAUGCAACUUUGUUACCUUUUCUUACUGGUAUAAUAAAGUUG